GCUGCAGAGAAAAGCAGAUACUUCCUCUUCUGUACUCUGAGUGAAACUCAUUCCUGUAUAGAGGGGCCACAGAGGCCUGUGCACCCUUUAGAUCUACUGGAGCCCUAUUUUGAGGACAUAAAUUGUGCAUAGGCCAUGGAUGGGUGCUCUGCAUAAGGUGAAUUGCAUGCUGCCUGAGAUCAGGAGGCUGAAUGGUGUCAUAGUGGCUCCUGGGAUCACAGAAGAUGGUAAGCGUGACAACCAUGAUGGAGCAGCUGAUUCCUUUUUGUCCUGCUGUCCUCUGGCCUGUUUGAUCCCCCUUUUGAAGCCUUUUUUAAGGACCCACAAAAAGAAGCGAUAGGUGCAAUAACCCAUCGCCCCAUUAUUUUGUCCACCAGUUAAACCUAACUUCUGGCACACCAAUUUUGGUCCAUUAAUUUCCGAUUCCAUUCUCUUCUUUGGGUGGUAUAAGUAGACCUUUUUGUUUGGACCUAUUCAAUCUUUCUGUCUUUAAAUUUGGCUAACUUUUAUAAACAAGUUUAUGUAA